ensembl:lncRNA
AAGAUGUGGUGAUGAAGAUGUGGUGAUGAAGAUGUAGUGAUGAAGAUGUAAUGAAGAAGAUGUGGUGAUGAAGAUGUAGUGAUGAAGAUAUGGUGAUGAAGAUGUAGUGAUGAAGAUGUGGUGAUGAAGAUGUGGUGAUGAAUGAUGAAGACGCCCCACCCUUCUUGGAGCUCUUGGUGGAGUCCAGCUGCUCCGGCUUCAGCUCCUGGUCCUCUGAGGCCUUCAGCUGCUCCUCCUGCUCCUCCGUAUCCAUGGCAACGUCCUCCUCCUCCUCACGGUCCUGGUCCUGCUGGGGGCCGGCGGGUUUCUGCUGCUCGGCGCUCGCCACGUCUGAAACCCAACGCACAGCGGGGAGCGCGGCGCUAGCGUUAGCAUAGCCCAGUGAACGUCCUCACAGGAUCAUCA